AUGACACGAGCUCGGAAGAAAUUGUACAUCUUGCAUGUCACAGUUGACUCUCAUCGCCAGCUGCUACCACCUUCACGUUUCCUUAGAGAGAUUCCAGGUCACCUUCUCGACAUACAGGGUGAGGGGGCUGCAACAAAAUAUUACGAGCAGCCUUCUGGAGACAUUUCAUUUGAUCACGCUGAAGGAGAGACAUCAACUGAAAAACCUAUUGUAAAUCAGAAUGAAACUUCACCUUACCCUGAACUGAUGCAGUCAUGCCUUGCUAAUGAUUUCUUGAAGAGGUUUGAAAUUGAUGAUAGAGCAGUAGUCUCGCAUAUAUUUCAUCAUUGGGCGAAGAGGCAGGCAUUUCAAAUUCCAAAGAGACUGCUUGAUAAGAUCAAAUUUGUGAUUGAUGAACGCCUGCGCGGUAAAGGAUAUAAGCGCAAGGAUGUCUUGUGCAAGCUGAAGUCAUUGCUAAGCGACGAUGAAGCGCUUGGUUACGCAGAAUAUGUUAUCAAGUGGGAACAAAUUCCUAUUGAUAAGCGAAGCCAUUUGAUGAGAGAGAGAUAGGAACAUUUCCAGAAGCAGAGGAUAGAGAACUCCAUGGGUUCCUCGGAGCCUACACCUAAGCAGAUAUCCUACCUCCGGAGCCUGGGGUGCACCAUAACACCCACGUCUCGUCUCCACGCGUCCAGUCUUAUUGAGAAGUAUAAAUCGCUGUGA
rnacentral:rRNA from 1 species